AUUAAUAAUAAAUAUGUAUGUAUUUACAUUUAACAAAAGAUAAACAUUCACUUUCCUGUUUCAUUUCAUCUCUGCAUCUAUCUAUACUCUGUAACAACUACCACCCCCACCAUCAGACACCAUCCACAACCAACCGAACAACCACCACCCCCUACCACCAUCUCCACCUGACAACUACCACCGCCAACAGCCCCACCAGACUACCACCACCACCUCCACCUGACCGCCACUAUCUUGCACCGCCCCCACACACUCCGACGGCCUCCCUAACUGCUCGAAAAUCUUUUAAAAGCAUAUCUAAAGCCAGAUUUCAACGAACUCCAGCGUCACCAUCAUCAUCUGAGUCUGUAAAUGCGUCGGAGCUAAAGUUCUUGGCUCGAAAACCUUGGCGCCCGUCACUGACUGAACUUAGGCAGGUGGCGGUUGCGUGGUGGCGGUGGUGGUCGCGUGGUGGUGGAGCGGUAGGUGGCGGUAGAUGAUGGUAGGUGAUUGUGAGGGCUGGUGGACAGGAUCGAGGUGUGUGAAAGAGAGAUGCAGAUGAAACAUGGAAGUGAAUGUUUAUCUUUUGUUAAAUGUAAAUAUAUACAUAUGAGGGGCACAUGACAAUAAUUUAACAUUACAAAUGGAUGCCGUUUGAGGCGGGGAGUGAAAUAGAGAUAAGCUUCAUAGAUCA